rnacentral:rRNA from 1 species
AUACGUAGGUGACAAGCGUUAUCCGGAUUUACUGGGCGUAAAGGGCGUGUAGGCGGUCUUGCAAGUCAGAAGUGAAAUUCCUGAGCUCAACUCGGGCGCUGCUUCUGAAACUGCAGAACUUGAGUGCUGGAGGGGAUAGCGGAAUUCCUAGUGGAGCGGUAAAAUGCGCAGAUAUUAGGAAGAACACCGGUGGCGAAGGCGGCUAUCUGGACAGUAACUGACGCUGAGGCGCGAAAGCGUGGGGAGCAAACAGGAUUAGAUACCCUGGUAGUCCACACCGUAAACGAUGAAUACUAGGUGUAGGGGGUAUCGACUCCCUCUGUGCCGCAGUUAACACAAUAAGUAUUCCGCCUGGGGAGUACGGCCGCGAGGUUGAAACUCAAAUGAAUCGACGGGG